rnacentral:misc_RNA from 1 species
UCCCCGUUAUCCGGGGCGGUUUCACUAGAGUGCCCAGCUUGACCUGAUGGCAACUAGGGAUAAGGGUUGCGCUCGUUGCGGGACUUAACCCAACAUCUCACGACACGAGCUGACGACAGCCAUGCAGCACCUGGACAUCCAGUUCCCUUGCGGGCACAUCCACAUCUCUGUGAACUUCUGGAGGGUUCCAACCCAGGUAAGGUUCUUCGCGUUGCGUCGAAUUAAACCACACGCUCCGCUGCUUGUGCGGGCCCCCGCCUAUUCCUUUGAGUUUUAACCUUGCGGCCGUAGUCCCCAGGCGGUGAACUUAAUGCGUUAGCUGCGGCACUGAUCGGGUCAAUCCGACCAACACCUAGUUCACAACGUUUAGGGCGUGGACUAC